rnacentral:rRNA from 1 species
AGACAAGCUACUAAGGGCACAUGGUGGAUGCCUUGGCACCAAGAGCCGAUGAAGGACGUAGGAGCCUGCGAUAAGCCCCGGGAAGUUGGCAACCGAGCGUUGAUCCGGGGAUGUCCGAAUGGGGAAACCCAGCUGGAGUCAUGUCCAGUUACGCCCACCUGAACACAUAGGGUGUGGUGAGGGAACACCGGGAAGUGAAACAUCUCAGUACCGGUAGGAAGAGAAAACAACAGUGAUUCCGAGAGUAGUGGCGAGCGAAAUCGGAUGAGGCCAAACUCAUGUCGUGUGAUAGCCGGCAGGCGUUGCGGUGUGAGGGUUGUGGGGCCGCCUGGCUGGUUCUGCCGAACCAGCGCAGAGUAAGAAACUGAUCGUGAAGUGGAAGUGGGCUGGAAAGUCCCGGCGUAGAGGGUGAUACCCCCGUAUACGUAAGCGAUCAGCUCUGUGGCGUUACCCCAAGUAACACGGAACCCCUGAAAUUCCGUGUGAAUCUGGCGGGACCACCCGUUAAGCCUAAAUACUCCUUGGUGACCGAUAGCGGACAAGUACCGUGAGGGAAAGGUGAAAAGUACCCCUGGCGGGGAGUGAAAUAGUACCUGAAACCAUGUGCCUACAAUCCGUCGGAGCUGAAGUCCAUUCGUGGAUCAGGUGACGGCGUGCCUUUUGAAGAAUGAGCCUGCGAGUUUGCGUUGUGUCGCGAGGUUAACCCGUGUGGGGUAGCCGUAGCGAAAGCGAGUCCUAAUAGGGCGUGUGAGUGGCACGAUCAAGACCCGAAGCGAAGUGAUCUAUCCAUGGGCAGGUUGAAGCGCGGGUAAGACCGCGUGGAGGACCGAACCCACUUAGGUUGAAAACUGAGGGGAUGACCUGUGGAUAGGGGUGAAAGGCCAAUCAAACUUCGUGAUAGCUGGUUCUCCCCGAAAUGCAUUUAGGUGCAGCGUCGCGUGUUUCUUCCCGGAGGUAGAGCACUGGAUGGUCUAGGGGGCCCACAAGCUUACCGAAAUCAACCAAACUCCGAAUGCCGGGAAGUGAGAGCGCGGCAGUGAGACAGUGGGGGAUAAGCUCCAUUGUCGAGAGGGAAACAGCCCAGACCAUCAGCUAAGGCCCCUAAGCGGUGACUAAGUGGAAAAGGAUGUGGAGUCGCACAGACAACCAGGAGGUUGGCUUAGAAGCAGCCACCCUUGAAAGAGUGCGUAAUAGCUCACUGGUCAAGUGAUUCCGCGCCGACAAUGUAGCGGGGCUCAAGUCAUCCGCCGAAGCUAUGGCAUUCAUGCGUUAUCCAGGCCCACUUUGGUGGGUCCAGGUGUGUGGAUGGGUAGGGGAGCGUCGUGUGGCGAGUGAAGCGGCGGUGUGAACCAGUCGUGGAUGCCACACGAGUGAGAAUGCAGGCAUGAGUAGCGAAUGAAGAGUGAGAAACUCUUCCGCCGAAUGAUCAAGGGUUCCAGGGUCAAGCUAAUCUGCCCUGGGUAAGUCGGGACCUAAGGCGAGGCCGACAGGCGUAGUCGAUGGACAACGGGUUGAUAUUCCCGUACCGGCAAAACAGCGCCCCUGACGAGGCUGGUGAUGCUAAGUGCCCGAAACCACCGGGACCCUUCGGGGCGAUGGUGGCAGAGCGCAUGACCCGAUCCAGUAGUAGUCAAGCGAUGGGGUGACGCAGGAAGGUAGUCCAACCAACGCGAUGGUUGUCGUUGGCUAAGGGUGUAGGACGAGGGAUAGGCAAAUCCGUCUCUCAUGAAGUCUGAGACCUGAUGGGGAGCCCGUAUGGGUGAAGUGGAUGAUCCUAUGCUGUCGAGAAAAACCUCUAGCGAGCUGUGCGCCGCCCGUACCCCAAACCGACUCAGGUGAUCAGGUAGAGAAUACCAAGGCGAUCGAGUGAACCAUGGUUAAGGAACUCGGCAAAAUGCCCCCGUAACUUCGGGAGAAGGGGGGCCGGAUCCGUUAUCACACAAGCUGUGAGACGCGGUGAUGGCCGCAGAGACCAGGCCCAAGCGACUGUUUACUAAAAACACAGGUCCGUGCGAAGUUGUAAGACGAUGUAUACGGACUGACUCCUGCCCGGUGCUGGAAGGUUAAGGGGACCUGUUAGACACAUUCGUGUGUCGAAGCGGAGAACUUAAGCCCCAGUAAACGGCGGUGGUAACUAUAACCAUCCUAAGGUAGCGAAAUUCCUUGUCGGGUAAGUUCCGACCUGCACGAAUGGAGUAACGACUUGGGCGCUGUCUCAACCGUGGACUCGGCGAAAUUGCACUACGAGUAAAGAUGCUCGUUACGCGCGGCAGGACGGAAAGACCCCGGGACCUUUACUAUAGUUUGGUAUUGGUGUUUGGUUCGACUUGUGUAGGAUAGGUGGGAGACUGUGAAGCGCUCACGCCAGUGGGUGUGGAGUCAUCGUUGAAAUACCACUCUGGUCGUAUUAGAUAUCUAACCUAGGUCCGUUAUCCGGAUCAGGGACAGUGCCUGAUGGGUAGUUUAACUGGGGCGGUUGCCUCCUAAAAUGUAACGGAGGCGCUCAAAGGUUCCCUCAGCCUGGUUGGCAAUCAGGUUUCGAGUGUAAGUGCACAAGGGAGCUUGACUGUGAGAGUGACAGCUCGAGCAGGGACGAAAGUCGGAACUAGUGAUCCGGCGCUGGCAUGUGGAAGCGGCGUCGCUCAACGGAUAAAAGGUACCCCGGGGAUAACAGGCUGAUCUUCCCCAAGAGUCCAUAUCGACGGGAUGGUUUGGCACCUCGAUGUCGGCUCGUCGCAUCCUGGGGCUGGAGUAGGUCCCAAGGGUUGGGCUGUUCGCCCAUUAAAGCGGCACGCGAGCUGGGUUUAGAACGUCGUGAGACAGUUCGGUCCCUAUCCGCCGCGCGCGCAGGAAACUUGAGAAAGGCUGUCCCUAGUACGAGAGGACCGGGAUGGACGAACCUCUGGUGUGCCAGUUGUUCUGCCAAGAGCACGGCUGGUUGGCUACGUUCGGAAGUGAUAACCGCUGAAAGCAUCUAAGCGGGAAGCACGUUUCAAGAUGAGGUUUCCCACCGGGUUAACCGGGUAAGGCCCCCAGUAGACGACUGGGUUGAUAGGCCGGAGGUGUACAGCAGUGAUGCCCAGCCGACCGGUACUAAUAGGCCGAGGGCUUGUCCCU